GACGAACGCUGGCGGCGUGCCUAAUACAUGCAAGUAGAACGCUGAAGGAGGAGCUUGCUUCUCUGGAUGAGUUGCGAACGGGUGAGUAACGCGUAGGUAACCUGCCUGGUAGCGGGGGAUAACUAUUGGAAACGAUAGCUAAUACCGCAUAAGAGUAGAUGUUGCAUGACAUUUGCUUAAAAGGUGCAAUUGCAUCACUACCAGAUGGACCUGCGUUGUAUUAGCUAGUUGGUGGGGUAACGGCUUACCAAGGCGACGAUACAUAGCCGACCUGAGAGGGUGAGCGGCCACACUGGGACUGAGACACGGCCCAGACUCCUACGGGAGGCAGCAGUAGGGAAUCUUCGGCAAUGGACGGAAGUCUGACCGAGCAACGCCGCGUGAGUGAAGAAGGUUUUCGGAUCGUAAAGCUCUGUUGUAAGAGAAGAACGAGUGUGAGAGUGGAAAGUUCACACUGUGACGGUAUCUUACCAGAAAGGGACGGCUAACUACGUG
rnacentral:rRNA from 1 species